rnacentral:piRNA from 1 species
GGCUAGAUAACGUUGGGGUGU